GACGAACGCUGGCGGCGCGCUUAACACAUGCAAGUCGAGCGAUGAAAUCUUAACAGAACCCUUCGGGGCGAAGAUAAGACGGAUUAGCGGCGGACGGGUGAGUAACACGUGAGUAACCUGCCUUUUACACAGGGAUAGCCUCGGGAAACCGGGAUUAAAACCUGAUGAAACUAUCAAAUCACAUGAUUAAGAAAGUUAAAACUCCGGUGGUAAAAGAUGGACUCGCGUCCCAUUAGCUAGUUGGUGAAGGUAACGGCCCACCAAGGCAACGAUGGGUAGCCGGCCUGAGAGAGUGAACGGCCACAUUGGAACUGAGAAACGGUCCAAACUCCUACGGGAGGCAGCAGUGGGGAAUAUUGCACAAUGGGGGAAACCCUGAUGCAGCGACGCCGCGUGAGCGAAGAAGGCCUUCGGGUCGUAAAGCUCUUUUAUAUGGGAAGAUAAUGACGGUACCAUAAGAAAAAGCCCCGGCUAACUACGUGCCAGCAGCCGCGGUAAUACGUAGGGGGCUAGCGUUGUCCGGAAUCACUGGGCGUAAAGGGUUCGCAGGCGGCAAUGCAACGUCAGAUGUAAAACGGCAAAGGCUCAACCUUUGUAACGCAUCUGAAACUGUAUAGCUUGAGAAGUGUAACGGCCACACUGGAAAUACUCUCAAGCUGUACCCCGGUGAACAUGGCGUAAGGCAUUACUCCAAACACAGAAAUCACCCGGUGGCGCAAAAUGGCGCACUUGGUGGGGCACACAUUCUGAACGCCUGAAGGGAACGAACACCGCUCGGGGAAGCACCAAGGAAUUCGGAUACCCUGGGGUAAAGGUCCCAAGGCCC
rnacentral:rRNA from 1 species